GACAGAGGUCCCGAGCGUUAGGCGGAAUCACUGGGCUUAAAGCGUGUGUAGGCGGAUUUGUAAGUACCUUGUGAAAUCCCACGGCUCAACCGUGGAACUGCUUGGCAUACUGGCGGUCUUGAGCAACCUAGGGGCGAGCGGAACAAAUGGUGGAGCGGUGAAAUGCGUAGAUAUCAUUUGGAACGCCAAUGGUGAAAACAGCUCGCUGGGGGUUUGCUGACGCUGAGACACGAAAGCCAGGGGAGCAAACGGG
rnacentral:rRNA from 1 species